CUGGUUUCUUUGUCUUAUUCUUUGUGAAUACUUAGCGAGAAGCCACAGUGGAUUUCAUAGGUUUCAAAAAUUCUUUACUUAUUUUAAUUAACACUCAAGUCCUUUGUUUAAAUGUUAAAUGCUUUUCACUUCUUCUAGCAAUAUUAUCUGCUUUUAAUAGCAGGUUGUUCUUGUGGUGGUGGUGGUUUUAAAAACAAAAAAGCAGGAAGCGGGGUCACUUGACAGAAGUAGGAGGCAAUUACAGAAGCCCUUCUAUCAGCAGGUGUGAAGGGGCAGCAACACUUGGCAGGAAGGGAGUGAGCCAGCUCUGCUCAGAAACAAAUAAAUAGCUAAGCCUGAAGAUAGUUACCUUAGACUUGCAAAAAGUUGUAUUCCUGCAAACGUCUAUGGAGGUAUGGGCAGUGUUCCUGUGUAUAUGUACUUGAAGAACCCCUGUCAUCUUUUGCAAAUGACUGACUUAAUUUCAGUGUUAUAGGUCAUUGUAGUUCUUGUGUGUUUAUUUAUGCAGAGGAAAUAAGUUCCUGAUAAGCAGGUUUGUAUCUUUUAUGAGCAAACACAGUGUUGGUUGAAUUGGGAGUUUUCUGCAGAAGUGUCAUUUUGAUCUACGAAUCUUCACUGUAAUGAGUGCAAAGAAUAAAGCCACCACAAGAAAGAGAUUAAUGAAAACAAAAUCCAGCUGUAGUAAGAGACCAGCAGGAACAGUCUUUAGAUAACUCUGGCUUCAAAAAGCUGACAGUUUAAUUAAAAUCAUUAUUGGGAACACUAGGUAACACAGCUUUGCAUUUAAUAGGAAUGUUUUGUAAAAACAAAUGUGUGGCUAGCCAGUAACCAAUUAAUUUAAAUUUUGAAAUGGAGGAUAAUGGAUAUUAGUAGGCAUUUUCACCAUCAUCCUGCACUGUUUGGUGUCUAGCCAUGUUACAGGCACAAUAAGAUGGUGGUCUGGCUUUGCAUUUUUCAGUCAUGCAAAAUUGAGUCAUUUCAAUGUUUCAACAAUAUUUUGGAUGCUACUGAAACAAGGCUAUUGAAGCAAAGCUUAUAUAUACUUAAGUACAGAGCCUUACGUCAUGACAAGAAAAAAAAAAGGAAAAAGGUCUGCAGUUUGAAGAGGAAACGGUGAAUAAGAAUAGCACAAGAAGAUAAACAGCUACUUGGAAACAAAGUUUUCCAGCUCCCUUCCUAAUGCAAAACUUUAUAGCAAUGUGCUGUGCUGCAGUUGAAGGCAAUGUGGCUGUGACAGGUACUUUUCUAUUUUAAAGUUGACUAAGAGCAGGUAACAAGUGGCGGGGGAGUGGAGCGUGUCAAGCUGUAUAUAGGGCUCAGUGGAGAAGAUGGCAGAGCAUAAUGCAAUUUCCUGGGUAAAAGAGCUAUCAGAUCAUACACAAAAGCGUUGAUGGAAAAGCAGGUUGACCAAAACAAAUUAC
rnacentral:lncRNA from 1 species